CCUAAACUUUCCUACAUGCUCC
rnacentral:piRNA from 1 species